rnacentral:rRNA from 1 species
UGGGGAAUAUUGGACAAUGGGCGAAAGCCUGAUCCAGCAAUACCGCGUGUGUGAAGAAGGCCUGCGGGUUGUAAAGCACUUUCAAUUGGGAAGAAAAGCUUAGGGUUAAUAACUCUGAGUCUUGACGUUACCUUUAGAAGAAGCACCGGCUAACUCC